rnacentral:rRNA from 1 species
UAGGAAAGGGGGGAGAGGGGUUCGGAAAGACUGGGCGUAAAGCGCACGUAGGCGGCCUUGUAAGUUGGGGGUGAAAUCCCGGAGCUCAACUCCGGAACUGCCUCCAAAACUACAAAGCUCGAGGAUGUGAGAGGAGAGUGGAAUUCCGAGUGUAGAGGUGAAAUUCGUAGAUAUUCGGAAGAACACCAGUGGCGAAGGCGACUCUCUGGCACAUUUCUGACGCUGAGGUGCGAAAGCGUGGGGAGCAAACAGG